GCCAGGCAUGGUGGUGCGUGCCUAUAGUCCCAGCUACUCAGGAGGCUGAGGAGGGAGGAUCGCUUGAGCCCAGGAGUUCUGGGCUGUAGUGCGUUAUGCCAGUCGGGUAUCCGCACUAAGUUGGGCAUCAAUAUGGUGACCUCCUGGAAGCAGGGGACCACCAGAUUGCCUAAGGAGGGGUGAACCGGCUCAGGUCGGAAACGGACCAGGUAGAAACUCCCGUGCUGAUCGGUAGUGGGAUCGCACCUGUGAAUAGCCACUGCACUCCAGCCUGGGCAACAUAGGGAGACCCCAUCUUA
rnacentral:SRP_RNA from 1 species